AACGAACGCUGGCGGCAGGCCUAACACAUGCAAGUCGAACGCCCUAGCAAUAGGGAGUGGCAGACGGGUGAGUAACACGUGGGAACGUGCCCUUCGGUUCGGAAUAACUCAGGGAAACUUGAGCUAAUACCGGAUACGUGCGAGAGCAGGAAGAUUUAUCGCCGAAGGAUCGGCCCGCGUCCGAUUAGCUAGUUGGUGAGGUAAUGGCUCACCAAGGCGACGAUCGGUAGCUGGUCUGAGAGGAUGACCAGCCACACUGGGACUGAGACACGGCCCAGACUCCUACGGGAGGCAGCAGUGGGGAAUAUUGGACAAUGGGCGCAAGCCUGAUCCAGCCAUGCCGCGUGAGUGAUGAAGGCCCUAGGGUUGUAAAGCUCUUUCGCCAGGGACGAUAAUGACGGUACCUGGAUAAGAAGCCCCGGCUAACUUCGUGCCAGCAGCAGCCGCGG
rnacentral:rRNA from 1 species